CCUACGGGAGGCAGCAGUGGGGGAUAUUGCACAAUGGGGGGAACCCUGAUGCAGCGACGCCGCGUGGGUGAAGGAGUGCUUCGGCAUGUAAAGCCCUAUCGGCAGGGAAGAAGCAAGACGGUACCUGACUAAGAAGCACCGGCUAACUACGUGCCAGAAGCCGCGGUAAUACGUAGGGGGCGAGCGUUAUCCGGAUUCACUGGGUGUAAAGGGAGCGUAGACGGCCAUGCAAGCCAGGGGUGAAAGACCGGGGCCCAACCCCGGGACUGCCCUUGGAACUGUGCGGCUAGAGUGCGGGUGGGGCAGGCGGAAGUACUGGUGUAGCGGUGAAAUGCGUAGAUAUCAGGAGGAACACCGGCGGCGAAGGCGGCCUGCUGGACUGCGACUGACGUUGAGGCUCGAAAGCGUGGGGAGCGAACAGGAUUAGAUACCCGUGUAGUC
rnacentral:rRNA from 1 species